AGCGAACGCUGGCGGCAGGCCUAACACAUGCAAGUCGAACGAACCCUUAGGGGUUAGUUGCGGACACGUGUGUCACACGUGGGACCGUGCCGUUAGAUUCGGAAUAACUCAUGGACACUUGUGCUAAUACCGAAUGUGCCCUUCUGAGAAAAGAUUUAUCGCCUUUAGAACGGCCCGCGUCUGUUUAGCUAGUUGGUUGAGGUAAUGGCUCACUAAGGCUACCUUCUGUAGCUGGUCUGAGAGCAAGAUCACACACAUUGGUACUGAGACACGGCCCAAAAUCCUACGGGAGGCAGCAGUGGGGGAUCUUGCGCAAUGGGGGAAGGGCUGACGCAGCCAGGCUGCGUGAAUGAUGAAGGUCUUAGGAUUGUAAAAUUCUUUCACCGGCGACGAUAAUGACGGUACCCGGAGAAGAAGCCCCGGCUAACUUCGUG
rnacentral:rRNA from 1 species